UGACAGUAUCGUAAAGGCCGUGAUCCCUCA
rnacentral:piRNA from 1 species